rnacentral:rRNA from 1 species
GAUGAACGCUGGCGGCGUGCCUAAUACAUGCAAGUCGAGCGAACAGACGAGGAGCUUGCUCCUCUGACGUUAGCGGCGGACGGGUGAGUAACACGUGGAUAACCUACCUAUAAGACUGGGAUAACUUCGGGAAACCGGAGCUAAUACCGGAUAAUAUAUUGAACCGCAUGGUUCAAUAGUGAAAGACGGUUUUGCUGUCACUUAUAGAUGGAUCCGCGCCGCAUUAGCUAGUUGGUAAGGUAACGGCUUACCAAGGCAACGAGGCGUAGCCGACCUGAGAGGGGGUUGGGCCCCCUUGGAACUGAGACACGGCCCAGGCCCGUAGGGGAGGAAGAAGUAGGGAAUUUUCCGAAAGGGGGGAAAGCCUGCCGGAGCAACGCGGGGUGAGUGAAGAAGGUCUUCGGAUGGUAAAACUCUUUUAUGGGGGAAAAACAAAUUUGAAGGUAACUAUGCACGUCUUGAGGGUACCUAAUAAGAAGGCCAGGCUUAACUCCGU